rnacentral:rRNA from 1 species
UACGUAGGGGGCUAGCGUUGUCCGGAAUCAUUGGGCGUAAAGAGCGUGUAGGCGGCCAGGUAGGUCUGCUGUGAAAACUCGAGGCUCAACCUCGAGACGUCGGCGGAAACCAUCUGGCUAGAGUCCGGAAGAGGAGAGUGGAAUUCCUGGUGUAGCGGUGAAAUGCGCAGAUAUCAGGAGGAACACCAAUUGCGAAGGCAGCUCGCUGGGACGUUACUGACGCUGAGGCGCGAAAGCGUGGGGAGCAAACAGG